AAGCAGCUUUGUCCUGGACUUCAGCGAGCUUUGUAUUAAUACGGUAGGUAGUGUGGGUGUGAAAUCACACUGCUGCUGGAAUCGAGGUUGCUGAGCUGGAAGUGGGGCGAGGACGCGUUAG
ensembl:miRNA